UUUGGGCCAUUUUUCUCAACCCACUCUUUCAAUUUCCAAACUCCAAGCAACCCAUUUCUAUUCAAUCCCAACAGCCCAACAUCAACUUCAAAUUCAGCUGCCUUAAUCCAAUUUACAAGCCCAGCCUACCAAACAACGUCAUAACACCUUGACCCAGCCCAAAUAACCCAUAACCCGACCCAACCUUGCGCAUGAAAUUUCAUCAGUGUCUUUUGAACAGAGUAAACGGAAAACGACGCGUGAACGUCCAAGCAACCCCGAAUCAACCCUGCACGCACGCGAGAGAGAGUUGACGGAAUCAGCCACGCCGACGUUCAUAAAGAGACGAGCGGUACAGGUAGUACGUUGCAACUUUGUUUUCUUCUCCAAACGUCACUCUCAGUCACACCCGACGGAUGAUGGAAUCGAUCAAGCUGUCCGUUCCCCUUUGCUCUUUCGGAUUGUGGUAAAAGAACUCCAGAAAAAGAGAUUUCCCCAAAAAUGAGGUUGUGGAGUCGCUAUCACUACUCGUCUAUAUCCAGUAUCGCUGCAAAAAAGUAGGUAAUAGCUUCCCUUUCACGUGAUUUUAUUGUCUGCUACAGUGUUCUCUUUCAUAUUUGGAAGUGUUUGGUGAUUAAGUUUGGGGACAAGAUAAUGUUGUACUUAUAUUGUUAGAGAUUUCGUGGUCUAUCAAUAGUAGCAUUAUGUUAUAUUCAUCACCUUUUUCUCUGUACGUAUUUUAAGGCUAUUCGUCAUCUUUGUUUAAGUGUUUCCGGGGCUGCUCUUUAGCAUUUCACAAAGAAUCAUUUACAGAUCAGUAAAAGCUCUUUCUUGUGCAUUUUAACCCUUUAAUUUAAUCUCCCCAAGACCCAUGUCCGAGGAGGUUGAGAUUAGAACUUCGUACUAACUUAUCUGAUGUGGUCUCUUAAGUAAGUGAUCUGUCUUUCUCAUUUUUGCUUCAAAAAAGUGGUCUGUUUUGUCAUAGUUUUAAUAUGAACCUGUCGAAAUAAUUUACUUCAUGUAAUACUCCCUCCUUUUCGGUAUCCUCUCACCUUCGUUCCUCAUGUGAUAUUUUCAAAAUGUUGAAAAGUUUUGGUCUUAUGACCAUUCAUUGUUAAUACCUGCAAGCUUGCUGAUGAUGGGAUGUGUAUAUGUUUCUUAGUCGUUUCAGCAAUUGAGUCGCAAUGUCGAGUUAAAGCCUUUUCCAUGGGUUUAUGCUCAAUGCUGUGACCUCUCUGUUGACUGAGUUUGUGUCAGUAGCGUUCUCAUGUGAUCAAGGCAUCAGGGUGACUUUCUCAAGUAGUUUUUUUUUCUUAAACGUCCGUUGGUUGUCUGCCUCUCGGACUGAAGUUUGCUGCAUUAUUUCUCAUAUCAAACCUAUUAAAUGUUGUGUUUGUCGAUGAAGCAGUAAUUCAAAUCACUUUAAAAUUAUGAGCAAGGUAAUUUGGUAGUACCUUUGAGUUUGGGGUUUUUGUAUAGUCCAAUCUCGGGUUCUUUUAGAUAGACUUCAUUUUGUAGGUUUAUUACUUUGCUUCAAAAUUAUUGAAUCUCUUAUUGUUUCAAUGUUUGGAUCAAUGUAAGAAGGGGUUUUUAUAGUUGCAUUUUUUUUAAAAAAAAAUAUGAAGUGUGAUUUAUUUGUGAUUAAGAUCAUAACUUAAGUAUGAGAAUAUUCAUCUUGACAUAAUGUUGUUCCCUCUGUCUGUAUUUGUUCAUCUUGUUGAUUAAUGUUUAAUUUUUGCUGCUUACACGGUUAUGAAAGUGCAUAGUUGUCAUGCUGUUAAUUUGAGGCCUUCAUUUCUUUUUUUUUUCUUUAAAAAAAAAAGAUAAAUAAAAAUAAUAAAUAAAUGACUUUCGGCAGUGUUACUAUUACCAUUUGUAUUUCAAUUGAUUUGCUUUGUGAUGUUAAAUUGUGAGAAAUAUUUUGCGUCUCCUCGCUUCCCGAUUAUUCUUUGGUCGAUUAAUUAUGUUUGCAGUUUCCAUCUUCUAUUCAUUAAUUGCUUGUCGUAUACUUGUAAUCAUGCCUCUAGCUAAAAUUUGUUUGAGUUAUUUGGUAUAUACUACGUGGAUUGCCUCAUUUAUGCAACUUGUGUUUUAAAAAUAUUUUGCCAAGAGAUUGAAUCCUACCCUAUGCUAAUUCCUUUCCCUUUGCUUUGUCCGUUUCAUGUGAAUUUGUCCGUGUUAGUCAUAAACUCAAAUUGCUACCUUCGAGUUGACCCCGAAAAAGGCGUACAUGUCCUAAAGUCGGAAGGACUCAAAACUCCAAGAAGUUGAAGAUUUUGGGCCAAGAAUCCCAAAUUUAUUUUAACGUUGUAUUUUAUCAUCUUUGGGCCUACCUAAGCCCCUGUAGUCUUUUGUUUUCUAUAUUUAUUAUUUAUUAAUUGUCUGAUUAGUCUAGGACAUGUACAAAACAAAAAUAGGUCCAAAUAUCGAUACAAGCGGUCAAAAACCGAAUUUGGACCCAA